rnacentral:rRNA from 2 species
GAUUUCUGGUAGAUCGUUCUGGCCCGCAUUCCUCCCGGUUUGUGAGCGCUGGCGCGGUCUUCCAUCCUUCUAGAAAGCCAUGCCUACUCUUUACUGAGCUGGGUAUGCGCGUUCUAGAUCGUUUACUUUGAAAAAAUUAGAGUGUUUAAAGCAGGCUUACGCUGUGAAUACAUUAGCAUGGAAUAAUGAUAUAGGACUUCGGUCUUAUUUUGUUGGUUUCUUGGGCUGAAGUAAUGAUUGAUAGGGAUAGUUGGGGGUGCUAGUAUUCCAUGGCCAGAGGUGAAAUUCUUGGAUUCAUGGAAGACUAACUACUGCGAAAGCAUU